UUCCCUGAGAGACUCGGCACCAGGCGACGAGAGCACGCGUGACGUCAUCUCCUUAUUUGCUCGCGAGGAGCCGUGACCGCAGCGCCCCCGCUGGCGGCCGCGCGCAGAUGAGACGAACAUCCUGCCGGCUCCGUGUGUGGAACAUCAACGGCACACUGAAAGGAGCUUAUGUGAACACUGGGUAUAAGGAGUCCUACGAGGUCUUCCUCAUCCACCUCUCUCCUCUCCGACUCACUGGCUCAUCACGCGGAGGAAACCCUGCAGGAGAUCCGUCCGUUCAGCCGCUGCAUGCUCCUCAGACUCUGCAUGCUGUUGGCUGCUCAGCACAAAGUGUACGGAGGCUUCGUCAAAGCUUUCCACUGAACACGUGAGCCUGCGGAGCCCGACAAAGACAUGCAGGACCACAGAGGAGAACGUGAAGCAAAACCGCGAGCUGAAAGACGCUAUAAAGCUCUGUGGGGGAACUUCAUCGCUAUGAGCAGCCCUCUUCACUCUCUGCCAUCUGAAACAGCGUUAAUAUAAAAACAGGGACUGUAGCACAAGUCUUCAGUGUUUCUCAGCCCGUUUUACGCCCUGCACAUCCAGAGCAGGUUGUAAUAUAUUAAACCCUCCCAAAUGAAGAUGUGUACUGGAAAGAUCUUCGAUUGGAACAUUUGAGUGAAGUGAAUAUUGUAUUUCGUACAGUUAUUAGAUUUAUCUAAACAGCUUAUAAAAUCACUAUGAUCAGUGCAAGCAGACUCUGUCUGCAAGGUUGUGUCAUGUGUGAGAAGUCCCAAUCUGAACAGGGUACUUUCAUUACAGGCCCACGUGGGCCGGGCCCACACAGUAAACAACCAGCAGAACAACACUCGCCGCCGCUGGAAUACGCUCCUCUCGUGAGGAGAAGUCUGAGUGGAAAGAGAUAAAUGGAACCAGAGUGGAUCUGGGUAAAUAAUUGAGACAAAAACACAUUUUACUAACACAUUAAGAGAGAUUGUGGAUAGGAGACUCGUGGAGGGACGAGGAGAGGACAGAGAUGGAGGGAGAGAAAGCGAGGCUUCGGAUGUGGUUGCUGCGCCGCUGCUCUGGUGCGUUCUCUCAUAAAUAUUUCAGGUAAACCCCGUCCCGCUCUCACUGCUGGGUUCAGGCUGCAAAGAGGCACACAGUAGAAAUAAAUUGACUCAGCGCCUGCCUGACCCAAACAAAAACAGCUUCAGUGAAAAAUGUUUGUUUUUAUUAUUAAAUAGUAAUACAUAUCACCAACUGUACUGUUUUUUUUAGUAUUAUUUUUUCCAAUUGACAAUAAAACGUGACAAUGGAAAAAAAAUAACCAAUGACCUUAUACUUUAUGACCCCCCCCCCUUCCAGCCCCUCGGUUCCUGCUGAAGAUGUAAAUGUUCAUGCCUCACGAUCAUAUAGUUUCAGAUAGAGAGAUCGUUUGACACUGUAGUUAUCACACACCAGGAAAAGUAACCAUAGAAUGAAUGAAACUAUAUAGCUGACCACACAUUGGCUGUGUGGUAACUUAGUCAACAUUUUGGUUUAUUUUCAGAAAAGUAGUAAUCAAGGUUUAAAGUUUUGAAACCCAACCUGUGACAUCGCCGUCAUAUGGUAUGUGCCACAUCCAACCUUCUCCCCGUUUACUCUGUCUAAAUGCAAUUGAAUGUCCUUAUUCAUGUCCAUACGAUUUGCUUUCAUGAUAUAGACUCCUAACCCAAUCGACACGGUGAGCUCGGCUUAGGUUUCCCACAGCACUGCAGCCCUUUUGAUUCACUGUGAUUAGCAGUGCGUGGAAAUACAGGAGGUGCUGCUCAUUCUUUGUCUCGGCAGAGACGCCAUUAGCUGGUGGAAAACAGUCCAAGGCAGUACAUAGUGAACGUCAGACGCAGAGAGGGGGAGAGACAUGUUCUUUCCCAGUCUCAUUGGGAAACUGUCCACGGUGAACUUAGCACUGAAAUUAGAUAUUGAUCCUUCUAUCUCCUCUCCAACCUCCUGCUCUCUCCCUGUCUAGUUUCGGGAGUGCACAUAGUCUCCUCUGGUGGUUCCUUCUCUUUCCUGUAGCCUCCUCUCUUGCUCUUGGGAUUUGUUUUGUCAUUUCUGACAUUUCUUGCAUCCUCACACUUAAGAGACACGGAGCCUUCAAUGGACCAGAUGUGAGAAUGGAAGAAAAUUCUGCAAUUUGAGAUUUUAAUUGCAUGACAUAUUCUCUGAGCAGUGGUCUCUUUAUUUCUGACCCCAGAACAGGACAUGGAGGACCAAAGGGCCCCAAUGCAAAAUUAACUAAUCUAAAGAACAUGUACAAUGGAAACACCUUUCUAUUAGUGACUAUCAAAGUCAAGAUAAAGAUUGUACUUAAAGCUGCAGACCUGACAAAGCACUGCAGUGGUAGAAAACUAUCAAAUCUGUGGUUCUUAAUGUUAUAAAUCAUCAAUUAAUGUACAUUAUCGUUAUCAAUCACAACGUCAAUUUCGAUAAACUAGUAGUUUGCUGAUUCCGCAGAUAUUUUUCCAGAACGUAAAUUACUUAAUGGACCAUUAAUGAAAUGUUAGAGAGAAUAAUGCUGGUGGAGGAGAUCUGUGAUGAUGCUUGAAUGUAACGUUGCAAUUAAGCAGUUUGUUGCGCUUUACUGUGCGAUCUUUGGGGGGGAGUCAUGAUAACUUCUUAUUGGUCCAUCCAUGUUAAGGUUUCUCUGCCUUUGUGGUCUAAAUGAAAUAAAUCAGUGGAAUCUG